UACAGAGGAUGCAAGCGUUAUCCGGAAUGAUUGGGCGUAAAGCGUCUGUAGGUGGCUUUUUAAGUCCGCCGUCAAAUCCCAGGGCUCAACUCUGGACAGGCGGUGGAAACUACCAAGCUGGAGUACGGUAGGGGCAGAUGGAAUUCCGGGUGUAGCGGUGGAAUGCGUAGAGAUCCGGAAGAACACCGGUGGCGAAGGCGGUCUGCUGGGCAGUUGCUGACACUGAGGCGCGACAGCGUGGGGAGCAAACAGG
rnacentral:rRNA from 1 species